AACGAACGCUGGCGGCAUGCCUAACACAUGCAAGUCGAACGAGACCUUCGGGGCUAGUGGCGCACGGGGGCGUAACGCGUGGGAACCUGCCCUUAGGUUCGGAAUAACUCCCCGAAAGGGGUGCUAAUACCGGAUAAUGUCUUCGGACCAAAGAUUUAUCGCCUUUGGAUGGGCCCGCGUUGGGUUAGCUAGUUGGUAGGGUAAAAGCCUACCAAGGCGACGAUCCAUAGCUGGUCUGAGAGGAUGAUCAGCCACACUGGGACUGAGACACGGCCCAGACUCCUACGGGAGGCAGCAGUGGGGAAUAUUGGACAAUGGGCGAAAGCCUGAUCCAGCAAUGCCGCGUGAGUGAUGAAGGCCUUAGGGUUGUAAAGCUCUUUUACCCGGGAUGAUAAUGACAGUACCGGGAGAAUAAGCUCCGGCUAACUCCGUG
rnacentral:rRNA from 1 species